CCAACCCCCUAACCACAGGAAGGGGUUAAAAUGAGAAAAAUGAUUGUGGUAAAAUAUUAAAUGUAAUCAUUUAAGUUAAGUGGCUGAUUCAACAUGUUUCAGGUUGAUAUGAUGUCAAAAGUUGGCGGGGGAAACGUAAGGGACAUCGUAAAGAAAGUAAUGGGAAAAUUGAUGACGAGUCAAUUAACUCUUAUCCAUGUUCAAUAUGAUGGGCGCCAAGGACAAAAUGAUGUUGUUAUAUCGAGUGUUCUCCAGACACAAAAUACGGAGCAGUGUACGGAGCAGAAUGUAUGCCAGGCCAUUGCUCAUUGUAUAAAAUAUGCCCCUGACAGAAGAGGGGGUGGGGAAAAGAAAGUGAUAAGACAAUUUGAUAAACGACUACACACACACUCUUUUUUACUAGAACAUGCAUAAUAUUAUGCUUGAUGAAGCUGUGUUUUUGUCAUUUUCUGAUAUAUUUGAAUUGUAAGUAACAAUGGCAUAAGUACAUAGCAAUGGCAAUAAUCUACCAUUGUUUGCAACUUUUAAUACAUGUAGUCGAUAGAAAAAAUAGUCAGUUUUGCACUUAAAAUGAUUUCUCACACUAGCAAGGCUUUUUAAUUGAAACUCGUUACACUGAUGUUAUUAUCUAGUUAUGUUUAUUUGGAAAAAAACCACCUCUUUUUAAACAUAGUUUAGAGAUUUCGUCAGUCGAGUACAUGAAAUGCUAUCAAGCCCUGACAUAAGUGGAGCUGUUGCUCUUGCUAGGGUCUGCAGCGUAGUUGAAGAUGGCAUGCUUAUUGCUACCUUAAUGUAGGCGCUUUUUAUAUUUUUGCGUUAUUUUUUUCAAAAGUAAAUAUUCUAGAGCUAAAAUUUGCUUAAUUAUUUAAAUCUUUGUAUUCCAACUCUAGUAAUUCAACUGUGUCACAGAGGCAGUUGUGAUUAUUGGUACUUUAUUCAAACAUAUGGGAUUUAAAACACAUAACUUUGUUAUGAAAUAGGAGCCCCUUGGUGAAUGGAGUUGAACUAGAACUUCUGGUUUAUUAAAGACGAAAUUCUUAGCACUUUAGUGUUUUCAUGACAAAAAACCACUCGCUUAGAAUAUGGCAAGACAUUCAAAAUAUUGACUAUUCUGAUUUUACAAACAUAGAGACAAUCUGAGUUCAAUCUAAGUAUUGUGAAGUUUGAACACACCUGGUUUUAUUACUAGUUUAUCCAUAAAAUUCAAUGUAUAUACUCAAUUGAAAAUGUUUUUAAUACGAUUACUUCAUGAACAGUUAUUAUGGUAUGUAACAUUUACAGCCUCAAAAAAACUUACAUGUUGGAUAAUUGAUAGUUAAUUUUGAUAUAGAAAAUGUUAAUUUGUUGUUGAUAUUUGAAUAUAUUUUUCAACACACACACAAUGCUUUAUUCAACAGAGUCUGAUACAUUAUCUUGUUGUUGAUUUGAAAAGUUGUUAACACUAAGUAUGUUUAUUAUGUAACAUUAAUGCUAUAUCUAUAAUGAUUGAAUGACAAGUUGAAUGUAUAUGCUUAUGACUAUGUCCUACGACUGCUAAUAAAAUGG